CGGCUCCAGGAACCAGGCAACCAAGCAUAUGCUUGGGGCGGCACCUGUUGAUUACAUCCUUCAGCACUCAUCAAUGACACCAUCCCAGAAGUCACUGCCAAAGAAAUAUUUGUUUCAACCUUCUCACAAACAGCUGACUACAUUGCUUCUGCAGCCCUGUAGCCCUCGACAGGACCAGGUUUGCUAACUCUAUGCAGCACAUGUGCCUAUUAUGUGAGCCCAAUUCUGCCAGCCUUACUUACAUCAAGAUUUACCUUAUUACACAAGCUGCCCCAAUGGCUUCACUAGUUCAUUCUGCAACCUUGUCUCUGCAUUGCCUAGUUUCAAUGGGACUAUCUGCACUGGACUAACACUGGAUGAAGAGAAUCACAGAACUGGCUUGAUGUCCUUUCUAUAUGGCUACUGUACAGUGUGCUGGCUGAUGUAAAUAUUUUCUCUUCUGAAGAUGGGUUAUAUUUGAAGUGGCCUAUUUUUCUUAACUAUGUCUAUUUUUGCUUGUUUUGUUUCUUUCAUAUAUGGUAGGAAGUAUUUUUGGAAGUGUUUUAUUUUCAUGCCUUUUUUAUCUUAACUAAUCUUUUUUUA